AUAAUAUUAGGACUUCUGGUUAUGCUCGGGUUGCUUUUCUUGUUGAUGCUAAUAUAACAUCUUAUCUUAUGAUGGGAUCUGUAUCACCAGGUUUUCUCUUCUCUCAACUGUGUUUCUGUGUUCCUUAUUCUCAUAACUGUUGUUGUUGUUGUUGUUGUUGUUGUUAUUCUCAUAACUGUAACAAACACUAGAAAACAAAAUAGGUCCUGGAAUGGUGAUUCAAUUACAUUCAAUGUGUUUCUGUGUUCCUUAUUCUCAUGACUGUGACAAACACUAUAAAACAAAAUAGGUCCUGGAAUGGUGAUUCAAUUACAUUCAUUAUUACCAAAUGCAUUAUUAAAAGCACUUUCCAACUGGUGCUUGCAAAAUGGACUGGGGUUUUCUGAUACAUAUACCUACUGAAGUUUCUGUUGUGGAUUUUAUGGAUGGUGUUAUGUCAGCUGCAACUACUCAUCUUUCUUGAAGUCUCCUACCUUUUGAAUGAACUUCUACUGAAUUACUGCCAGUGAACAGAAUAGUUAUGUGUGAAAGCCAGUUUUCCUGCAAGUACGAGGAGAAAAGCUUGGUCUGUUCCUGGGAAACAUGACAGAUCUUCCCAAAAAGUUAUAGUGAUGUAAUUAGAGAUUAGCAUCUUGUGCUGCAGCUCAAGAUUGUCUGUGUGUUAAAGCAAAAAGGUUAUAGUGAUGUAAUUAGAGAUUAGCAUCUUGUGCCGCAGAUCAAGAUUGUCUGUCUGUGUUAAAGCAAAAAGUUAUAGUGAUGUAAUUAGAGAUUAGCAUCUUGUGC
rnacentral:lncRNA from 1 species